GCAGAAGUUCACCACCACCGCGCAGGUUCAUGCCAUUUCUGAUGAUGAUGAUCGAGAACUUUCCUGUUUUGAUCUCGAUCAGAUAAUGAACAGUGGACCCAAAGAAACUAAAGUGGGCUUUUAUAAAAAAAAGAGGGUUCACAUCGUGAAUCUGUCAGCUCACCGCAACUCAAUCACAAUCACCACCAUCUUCAAGACCCCAGAUCAGGUGCGGCAGCGGCAGGUGCGUCUGGUAGCAGUUCUGGUCCCGCUCCCAGGUCUGCUUCUCCUGCUUCUGGGCGCCGUCCUCCGUCUCAACCAUCUCAGCCCCAGCCAGCCAUUGUCUCUUCCGGGGGUAAUCACGAAAAUCAGGACGUCCCUGCUCCUACGGCCGAAAAGCAGAAAAGACCUGACGAGGUGAAAAAUGAAGCGGACGUCCAGCUUCUAAUGAUCAAGCUGCGCCGUGUGGUCAAAGCCGACACGUGUCUGUCAGUGAAAGUCCACAAAAUACAGGAUUUUCUGAUGAUUUUUCUCCGGCCCUCUUGAAGCGUCGCUGUCUCGACGCACUCAGCAAGACUGUGGACCUGUGCAUUAGAAUAUUGGACGAACUGUAAGAUUUUUUUCUGCUCGUUGUAUCUAGGAAAAAAUGAACCUCCUUUGUCACUUGACGUUAUAAAUCACCUUCAAUMAGCCGUAGAUGAAUUAAGACAAAUUCCAUUGCCUGUCAAUGUAAACUCUUUCCAAAAUUSUCCUGAUGAGAACAUUUCUCAGGAAAGUCAAUUAAAUGAAACACAGCAAACUGUGGACUUUUUUCACACUUUGGACAAAGCUAUUUCAAUUCUCCCUCUAUUUGAUCUGCAAGCUGAAAUAGACAGAUUACGGGAAAUCCCUUUGCCUGUAAACUUGACACAUAUUUCUCCUGACGAGAUAUUUUCUCAGGAGACUCGUCCAGAAGAAAGAUCUCAGACUGGUGAAAAUUUUAAAUGUUUAGAGGAAGCUGUAUCAGAUCUUUCUCAAAUCCAGGCAGAUGAAAACUCUACAAAAUUUAUCUCAGAGUGAAAAUGCUCUACACGAGCUUAAUCAAUUAGUUGCAGGAUUCGGGGCUGUGCCUUCAGAUGACAUUUGUCGAUACAGAGCAGGACCCUCAACAGAACAGAAUCAAAAUGUGCAAAUUUCCACUUGUGAACGGUUUAAUAACCAUGAAAUUCGCCUACGGUUUUUUAUACCUUGUUCAGAUAACGCACUGAAUUUAGCCGAAUAUUACACCAAUGUUAUGAGUAUUCUGUCAAAUCUCUCUGACAGGGUUGAAUCUUUAUCCCAUAGAAAUGACCUCAUUCAAAUUGAGUUAUCUGGUGAAAACGUUUCCCAUAACGUUACGUUCCAAGUCGAUGAAAAUCCAAGCAACAUUUUAUCUGAAUUUACAGAUUUUCUAGACCGUUUAAUUCAAUCUGACGGACAGAUAGAUUCGGAGAAUGAUUUAUAAUUCAUCAUUCAAAUUGUUAAAAAUCCGAGGGGAGGAAUCAAGCGGAAAGCUGAAAAGUCUUUGGACACAGAAUUAAUAAA